GACGAACGCUUGCGGCGUGCCUAAGAAAUGCAAGUCGAACGGGCAUCAGUAAUGGUGUCAGUGGCGAACGGUCGCGUAACACGUAAGCAACCUGCCCCGAAGUUUGGGACAACAGCCUGAAAGGGCUGCUAAUACCGAAUGUGGUCCAAGCGCUGCCCUGGUGCUUGGUCUAAAGCUUAAUGUGCUUUGGGAUGGGCUUGCGGCCUAUCAGGUAGUUGGUGUGGUAAUGGCGCACCAAGCCUUUGACGGGUAGCUGGUCUGAGAGGACGAUCAGCCGGAUUGGGACUGAGAUACGGCCCAGACUCCUACGGGGGGGCAGCAAUUAGGAAUCUUGCGCAAUGGGGGCAACCCUGACGCAGCGACGUCGCGUGGAGGAUGACGGUCUUCGGAUUGUAAACUCCUUUUAGCAGGGAAGAAAAAAAUGACGGUACCUGCUGAAUCAGCCCCGGCUAACUACGUGCCAGCAGCCGCGGUAAUACGUAGGGGGCGAGCGUUGUCCGAAGUUACUGGGCGUAAAGCGCGCGUAGGCGGUUUCUUAAGUUUGGGGUGAAAGGUUCAACGCUCAACGUGAACAGUGCCUCGGAUACUGGGAAACUUGAGUUCGGGAGAGGGCAGUGGGAUUCCUGGUGUAGCGGUGAAAUGCGUAGAUAUCAGGAGGAACACCGGUGGCGAAGGCGACCGCCUGGCCUAGAACUGACGCUGAGGCGCGAAAGCGUGGGGAGCGAACGGGAUUAGAUACCCCGGUAGUCCACGCUGUAAACGAUGGGUGCUAGGUGUCGGGGGUAUCGACCCCCCCGGUGCCGUCGCUAACGCAGUAAGCAUCCCGCCUGGGGAGUACGGCCGCAAGGUUGAAACUCAAAGGAAUUGACGGGGGCCCGCACAAGCGGUGGAGCAUGUGGAUUAAUUCGUCACUAACCGAAGAACCUUACCCAGACUUGACAUUGAGGGAAAAGCGGUGAAAGCCGUUCCUCCCCUUCGGGGGACCCGAAAACAGGUGUUGCAUGGCUGUCGUCAGCUCGUGUCGUGAGAUGUUGGGUUAAGUCCCGCAACGAGCGCAACCCUCACCGUAUGUUGGCAGCGUAAAGUCGGCCACUCUUACGGAACUGCCUAUGCAAGUAGGAGGAAGGUGGGGAUGACGUCAAGUCGGCAUGGCCCUUACGUCUGGGGCUUCACACAUGCUACAAUGGUUGGGACAGACCGUAUCCGAGACCGCGAGGUGGAGGCAAUCGGAGAAACCCAAUCUCAGUUCGGAUUGCAGGCUGCAACUCGCCUGCAUGAAGCUGGAAUCGCUAGUAACCGCCGGUCAGCGAAACGGCGGUGAAUCCGUUCCCGGGCCU
rnacentral:rRNA from 1 species